rnacentral:rRNA from 1 species
CAAUAGCGUAUAUUAACGUUGUUGCAGUUAAAAAGCUCGUAGUUGGAUUUCUGGAGGGAGCGUCGGCCCGUAUUUACGAGUGCGUGACGUCUCUGUCCAUCCUUGCGGGAAGGCACGGCAUUGAUUUGUUGUGUCGGAUCGCAUCAUUUACUGUGAAAAAAUUAGAGUGUUCAAAGCAGGCUUUCGCUUGAAUACAUUAGCAUGGAAUAAUAAGAUAGUACUUUGGUGCUAUUUUGUUGGUUGAGCCUAAAGUAAUGAUUAAUAGGGAUAGUUGGGGGCACCUGUAUUGCGUUGUCAGAGGUGAAAUUCUUGGAUUUACGCAAGACAAACAGCUGCGAAAGCGUCUGCCAAGGAUGUUUUCAUUAA